rnacentral:rRNA from 1 species
AUUGAACGCUGGCGGCAGGCCUAACACAUGCAAGUCGAGCGGUUGACGGGAGCUUGCUCCCUGAUUCAGCGGCGGACGGGUGAGUAAUGCCUAGGAAUCUGCCUAUUAGUGGGGGACAACGUUUCGAAAGGAACGCUAAUACCGCAUACGUCCUACGGGAGAAAGCAGGGGACCUUCGGGCCUUGCGCUAAUAGAUGAGCCUAGGUCGGAUUAGCUUGUUGGUGAGGUAAUGGCUCACCAAGGCGACGAUCCGUAACUGGUCUGAGAGGAUGAUCAGUCACACUGGAACUGAGACACGGUCCAGACUCCUACGGGAGUCAGCAGUGGGGAAUAUUAGACAAUGGGCGAAAGCCUGAUCCAGCCAUGCCGCGUGUGUGGAGAAGGUCUUCGGAUUGUAAAGCACUUUAAGUUGGGAGGAAGGGUUGUAGAUUAAUACUCUGCAAUUUUGACGUUACCGACAGAAUAAGCACCGGCUAACUCUGUGCCAGCCGCCGCAGUAACAC